rnacentral:tRNA from 1 species
GAAGCUGUGGCUCAGUUGGUAGAGUGCUAGCUUAUCAUGCAAUAAGCCUUGGGUUCGAUCCCAGCAUCA